UACGGCGUGGCCAAGUGGUAAGGCAGCGGCCUUUGACGCCGCUAUUCGCAGGUUCGAAUCCUUCCGCCGUAG
rnacentral:tRNA from 2 species